UACUGGGGGCCUUAAAGCGCUUUCAAAUGUCACUGAGCAUGUCAGGGCACACAAUCGAGAUACCAAAAUGGCCGUCGCAGAAAGAAUAUAUGAAACUAUAUUUCGCUACUGACCAGGCGGCUACCGGGCUGAUCCCCAAGCUAAAGCACAGCAGGCGGUUCCGCGAUCUGAUAUUACUUUUGGCUUAAGGCUUUCAGCUCCAAGACAAUCCUUGAGUCAUCCCGUGAGGGUGCCUCAAAAUGGGACUAUAUAAAUACUCUUUCACUGAGGUAUAUUCCUUUUGAGAAGAAGCUUGAAGGGACUUAACUUCAAAGUUAAUCUGUUAACAAAUUACAAGUCCCACAGAACAACUUGCAAAUAACCAAGACCUUACGAAUUUCUUAAGAUUAAAAUCUAAAUCAAAUGAAUUCUAUAGAAUUAAUAGUUAAGUGUUGUGGAAACUAAUAAAGAUGUCAUUGGCCAGAGGAGACAAUCGGACGGCGAGACACAAACACAAUCCUAAACGGGUAGACUCCGAUCUAUGUGUGAGCCAUAAAAAUGGUUUAUAUCCAUGGUUAUGCCGAGGGCAAUUCAUAAUUUUCAUAAUUUACGCUUUGUUUGCCAAAACA